UACGUAGGGUGCAAGCGUUGUCCGGAAUUAUUGGGCGUAAAGAGCUCGUAGGCGGCCUGUUGCGUCGGCUGUGAAAACCCGGGGCUCAACCCCGGGCCUGCAGUCGAUACGGGCAGGCUAGAGUCCGGCAGGGGAGACUGGAAUUCCUGGUGUAGCGGUGAAAUGCGCAGAUAUCAGGAGGAACACCGGUGGCGAAGGCGGUUCUCUGGGCCUUACCUGACGCUGAGGAGCGAAAGCAUGGGGAGCAAACAGG
rnacentral:rRNA from 1 species